GGGGGGGGGGGGGGGGGUGGGUGGGGCGGGCGGGGCGGGGGGGCCGCGGGGGUUUGCUCCGUGGUCGGCGGCGGACGGGUGAGUAACGCGUGGGUGACCUACCCGGGGGAGGGGGACAACCCGGGGAAACUCGGGCUCAUCCCCCAUGUGGACCCGCCCCUUGGGGGGUGGCCCAAGGGCUUUGCCCGCUUCCGGAUGGGCCCGCUGCCCAUCAGGUAGUUGGUGGGGUACUGGCCAACGAAGGCGACGACGGGGGGCCGGCCUGAGAGGGUGGCCGGCCACAGGGGCACGGAGAAACGGGCGCCACUCAUACGGGAGGAAGCAGUAAGGAAGCUGCCGCAAGGGGCGCAAGCCUGACGGAGCGACGCCGCUGGGAGGAAGAAGCCCUGCGGGGUGUAAACUCCUGAACCCGGGACGAAACCCCCGACGAGGGGACUGACGGUACCGGGGUAAUAGCGCCGGCCAACUCCGUG
rnacentral:rRNA from 1 species